GACGAACGCUGGCGGCGUGCUUAACACAUGCAAGUCGAACGGAAAGGCCCUUCUUUUGUGGUGUGCUCGAGUGGCGAACGGGUGAGUAACACGUGAGUAACCUUCCCUUGACUUUGGGUUAACUUCAGGUAACUGGGUCUAAUACCGGAUAGGAGCUCCUGCUGCAUGGUGGGGGUUUGAAAGUUUCGGCGGUUGGGGAUGGACUCGCGGCUUAUCAGCUUGUUGGUGGGGUAGUGGCUUACCAAGGCUUUGACGGGUAGCCGGCCUGAGAGGGUGACCGGCGACAUGAGGACUGAGAUACGGACCAGAGUCGUACGUGAGACAGCAGGGGAGAGUAUGACACAAUGAGCGGGAGCGUGAGACAGAGACGCCGGGUGCGGGAUGAAGGCCUGCGGGGUGAGAACCGCUUUCGCCUGAGACGAAGCGUGAGUGACGGUAAUGGGUAAAGAAGCACCGGCUAACUACGUG
rnacentral:rRNA from 1 species